rnacentral:rRNA from 1 species
GAAAGCUUGGCGGCGUGCCUACCCAUGCAGUCGUACGAACCGGUUAGCAAUAACAGGUGAGUGGCGGAAGGGUGAGUAACACGUUGGUGACCUGCCUCGUCGCAGGGAAUAACAAUCCGAAAGGAUUGCUAAUACCCAAAAGGGUCAGUGGGUCGUACCACUGAUCAGAGUCGAAAGGCGCGGCGAGAGGGGCCUGCGGCCCAUCAGCUAGUUGGCAGGGUAAUGGCCUACCAAGGCAACGACGGGUAGGGGGUCUGAGAGGAUGGCCCCCCACACUGGAACUGAAACACGGUCCAGACGCCUACGGGUGGCAGCAGGGAGGAAUAUUGGGCAAUGGGCGAAAGCCUGACCCAGCAACGCCGCGUGGAGGAUGAAAGCCUUCGGGUUGUAAACUCCUUUUGAGGGAGAAGAGAAAGGACGGUAUCCCUCGAAUAAGUCACGGCUAACUACGUGCCAGCAGCCGCGGUAAAACGUAGGUGACGAGCGUUAUCCGGAUUUACUGGGCGUAAAGAGCUUGUAGGUGGCUCUGUAAGUUGGGCGUGAAAGCCCCGGGCUUAACUCGGGGAGGUUGCUCAAUACUGCGGGGCUAGAGGGUGUCAGAGGGAAGUGGAAUUCCUGGUGUAGCAGUGAAAUGCGUAGAUAUCAGGAGGAACACCCGUGGCGAAGGCGGCUUCCUGGGGCAUUCCUGACACUGAGAAGCGAAAGCUAGGGGAGCGAACGGGAUUAGACACCCCGGUAGUCCUAGCUGUAAACGAUGCGGACUUGGUGUUGGUGGCUUAAACCCCAUCAGUGCCGCAGCUAACGCGAUAAGUCCGCCGCCUGGGGACUACGGCCGCAAGGCUA